CAGGUCCUAGAAGAGCCAAACAAUCUUGAAAAUGAAGAAAAAAUGGGAGGAAUCACUCUACGUGAUAAGAAUUCCUAUAUGGGUACAGUAAUAAAAGCAGUAUGGUAUUGAUGGAGAGAUUGAUACACAAGAUUAACAGAACAGAAUAGAGAUUCCAGAAAUGGACCCAUACAAGUAUGGCCACCUGAUUUUUGGCAAAAGAACCUUGACCUAAAGCUCUUACAAUGUACUAAAAUUAUCUAAAAAUGUAUCAUAGACAUAAAUGUAAAAAUUAUUAAACUUUUAGAAGAUAAUAUAAAAUAAAUUUUUCAUGACCUAGGGUUAGGCAAAGAAUUCUUAAACAGGGAAAUCCAUAAAAUAAGUAAAAUCAAUACAUUAGAAUUUAUCAAAAUUUAGAACUUUUGCUCCAUGAAAGACACUGAUAAGAGAAUGAAAAGAGAAGCUAAACACUGGGAGAAAAUAUAUGCAAACCACAUAUCAAACAGAGGAUUUAUAUCCUAAAUAAAUAAAAAGCUCUCAAAACUCAAUUGUAACAAACAACCCAAUUAAAAACAUCAAAAGACUUGAACAGGCAUUUUACCAAAGAAGAUAUAUAUAGAGAUGGCAAAUAAGCACAAGUAUUAUGUGGAAGUCAUGUGGUUUAUGUGAAAUGACCUCACUCCCAACUCCAGAGGGUCCUUUUUUUCACCACAAUGAUUGCAUCAUAUAAUCCAGGCCUACAUCAGUCAGUAGACGGAAUUCCUGGGCCACAGGGAUUGAGUCAGGGAUAGUUCAACGGGAACAAAAUUCAGGCCCUUUGAAAAAUGAUUGUGGAAAGUGACCAUAUCCCUAUUUGUGGCAGGCAGCCAUCUUGUGACCAUGAAGAAGUAUCCUGGAGACAAAGCUAACACACACAAAAUAGGGCAGCACUGAGAUCAGGACCACAGCUCUGAUCAAACUGUGCCUAAAACUUACAUACCUCUAGACUUAUCAGUUACAUGAGGCAAUGUCCUAUGCUUGACUCGCAUUUUCUCUUACCUGCAACUGAAACAUCUUUAUGUCUACCACACUUAACAGUCAACAUCCUUCCACACGUUACCUCCAGGGAACUUUUCAUGGCUGGCAAAUGCUCUUCUCUCUUUUCCUUUGAGCUCCUCCAGUCCCAAGAGUCUGAGUCACUCACCUUAUCAUUUCUCUCUCUCAGACAAACACACAUAUACAUACACACACACCCCACACACACACACACCAAACCUCUGUGGCACUUUUGUGGUGUUUUCCCUAACUUUCCACCCUUCCCUUGGUUAUAGCCCUGACCCUGGUACGAUAUAACAUUCAACAUUACACUGAAUUGUGACUGUCAGUGCUUGUCUCCUCCUCCCCUGAAGACUGUUAGCUCCUGAGGGCCUGACAGUCCCUUGACUCAACUCCUUUCUGCUUCACUGUUUCAUGCUUUGACCCAAAAAAGAUGAGGCUUAGUAGGGAGAGAGGUGGAAGGGUGAAGGGCAUCCAUCCCUUUGUUUACUAACAUUUGUGUGUCCCUCCCUAGUUACCUGCCUCCAUGCCUUUGCUGGAGAGGAAGCCACCUAGGUUGACUCCACCUGGAAUGUCUAUUUUCACACAUUCCAAAUCCUACCCUUUCAAACUCAAGGCCAACUCUGGAAGGAGAAAGGGCUAUGACUGACCAGGAAGGGACAUGUGGGAACUUUCUGGGAUUAUGGUAGUGUUCUGUAUCUUGAUAGGGAUGUGGGUUACACAGGUCUAUACAUUUGUCAAAACAUGUGAAAUUAUACUCUUAAGAUGUGUGCAUUUAUUUCAUCGUAUAUUUUACCUUAAAAAAGAUUCAAAUAUUGAACUCUAGUAAAUGGCAUGCAUGCUGAAAUGUUUAAAGGAAUGUGUACACAUGUCCAAAAUUUUGAAAUGCAUAAAGCGUCGAUACAUGGGUAUGCAUAUGUGAUAAAGCCAAGUGUAGUAAAAUACUAAUUGUAGAAUCUGGGUGGUGGAUAUAUGGGUGUUCACAGUACAAUUAUUUUGACUUUUAUGUCUGAAAAUGGUCAUCACAAAAUGUUAGGGAAAAAAAAUAAGAGAUGUGGGUUAACAUCUCUGGUCUCUGGUAUCUUCAUAGCCACAGACUUGGUUUAUACCUCAUUACAUCUUUUUUUUUUUUUUUUUUUUUUUUUUUUUUUUUUGAGACAAGAGUUUUGCUCUUGUUGCCCAGGCUGGAGUGCAAUGGCAUGAUCUCAGCUCACUGCAACCUCCACCUCCUGGGUUUAAGCGAUUCUCCUGCCUCAGCCUUCCGAGUAGCUCGGAUUACAGGCAUGCGCCACCACGCCCGGCUAAUUUUUUGUAUUUUUAUUAGAGACAGGGUUUCUCCAUGUUGUUCAGACUGGUCUCUAAGUCCCGACCUCAGGUGAUCUGCCCACCUCGGCCUCCCAAAGUGCUGGGAUUACAGGCGUGAGCCACCGCACCUGGCCCUAGACCUCAUUACAUCUUAACUGGAAUCUUGCAAUCAACUUCACACUGGCCUCCAAGUUAGCCCACUGCAGUCUCUCCUCAUCCCAAGGAUCGCCAGAGAGAAUCUUCCAAAACACUGGACUUCCGUGACCCAGUCCCUGCCAACCUCUUCAGCUUCAUCCCUGACACUUGCUACCUUACUGCAGCCUGUACUCCAGCUCAACUCAAGGGCUUGUAGUUCCACUCACACACCAGGCUACUUUAUGACUUUCUAAGUUUGCUCAUGCUGUUCCUUUUGCUUGGAAUGCUUUUUUCCAACUCAUCCUCUGCCCUCUUUGCCUGGUGAGUGCUCUUCAAACUUAAUCCAGGCAUUACAUCUUCCCAGAAGCAUUUCUGGCCACUCAAACUGGGUUCGGUCUCCUUCUUUCAUGCUCCCAUAGCACCUCAAACUUAUUCGUAACAUAGUAUUUACCCACUAUGAUGUAUGUGGGUUUCCAUGUCUGUAUACUAAACUACAUACUCUUUGAAGAUCAAGCUCUCCAAUGGUAUGCACAGGGUCUGAUACAACAGGCUUUAAUAAACGACUGUAGAACUGAACAAUUUAUAUUGAACUGGCAUGGAAGGCACUCUGGAACCUUCCAACAACUUUGUGUCAUAGAUUUGCUUGCUAUCUCUACUACAGUUUAAGGCCCACCACCCCUAUUGACUCAGCCAUCUCCCUAUGUUUCUCAACCACCACCUCCCUCAUGAAGCCAACUCAAUUUCCCGCCCCAGUUUGGAAUACUCUCCCUAAUUCCUUAAAGAUUUACUUUCUCUGUACUUCGAGAUUCUAGGUGUUGGGCAAAUUUUGACUGGGAAAAAAUAAACUAUGUUUGCUGAUCACCUGAGUGCCACACAUUGAAUUUUCAUAUACAAAUAUAUAUAUACGUAUAUAUAUAUAUAUAUAUUAGGUAAAAGCCAGACAGAACUAAGAAUUUUCUUUAAAGGCACUAGCUAAUAUAAUUCCUCCCAAGAAUCCUGUGAAGUAGGGAGAUCGUAUCUUCAUUUCACAGAUGGCAAAACUCAGGCAAGGAAAUAUGAAGCAACCAGUUCAAGAUCAUAUAGGAAGCAGAGCUGUAAUAUAAUCACUGGUCUUCUCAACUCCCAGGCACAUCCUCUUUCCACCACAUCCCAUUGUCUCCAGGUUGGGCCAGGUUCUGGAAAGCCUUGAGAGCCAGAGGGUGUAAUAAGCAGUUGCAAGUCAUGAAGUGUUCUUAAGCAGGAGGGGAUGAUGAAUAUAGAACUCUGGGGAGAUACUCCUGAAAGGUUGUGUAUGACAGAAUUUAGUGUGAGGGAGGCUACUGGACUCCUGACAAGGAAAAUACAAAAUGAGUACUGUAACUCUCUUAACACAUUCAUUGGUGAGUGCUGGCAUUACGAUGGGGUCCCAUGGAAAAGGAGAGGGUCUGAGGUUAUUUUGAGAAUUAAAAAGCUGAAGGGGAUAUAGGAGUCCAUCUUCUGUCUCUUGGGUUGAGUGGCCGACCUCAUGGUCUGCCCCCUGGAAAUGGCCUGGGAUUUCUGCCUUUUAUGGGAUGUAGGAGUCCAGGAAAAGGUCCAAGUUGACUGGACAGUUGGGUGAAGGUUUCCUUAGGAAAGUGGCAUUCGAUGGGACACUAGAUGAGAUGGUGCCGUCCCCAUCUCUCCUUCAGUAGCUUCCAAACUAGCCUUCUUGACUUCAGUCUCUCCCCGUCUUCACCCACCUCCAAAGGGAUCCUUUUCACACUUAUUUUGUCUUUUUUUUUCUUCCUUUUUGUGGAGAACGGGGUCUCGCUAUAUUGCCCAGGCAGGUCUCGAACUUCUGGGCUCAAGCUAUCCUCCCGCCUCUGCCUCCCUGAGAGCUGGGAUUACAGGCGUGAGCCACCGCACCCGGCCCAAAGGGAUCCUUUUUAAACGCCAAGUUGGAUCAUGUGAUUUUCUGCUUAAAACCGUUUAAAGGUUCUCUGCCAUUCUUGGGAUAAAGUAAGGUCUUUUGACAAACAUCAAAAUUACAUAUCCUCCAUAACCUGGGAUUUUAAAAUAAAUAUUAUGCCUAAAAACUAACCAAUUAUGAUCAUAUGCCUCCUCAAACUACAUAUUCCCUCUUGGGGAUUGUGCUGAUGUUCCCCCAGGUGAGUCCCUGCUGCAGUUUACGAUAUUGUUGACCUAUAUCUAUACACACACACACACACACCCCAACCUGUUUUUACUCAAGCUACUGCUUCGGCUUGGACUACUCUCCCAUUGUUCUUAGCUAAACCAACUAAUUGCUUUUCAUCUUUCAGCUCAGGCACCACCCAAUAGGAAGGCUUCCCCAAUCUCCUUGUUUCUCUAGGAUGGAUUCCCUGCUCAUCUCUAUCAAUGUGCUGUAUCAUACGAUGCUCCUGUCCUCCAUUCAACUUACUGGAGGGCAAGUGCCAUUUCAGUUAACUUGGUGUGUAUGGAGUCCUGAUGAAGGGGCCUGUGUAGUUGAGGCAGGAGAAACAACAUGAGAUAGCAGAAAUGGGGAUCUGCACUCAGAACAAGUUAGGGCUAGAGGAUUCGGUUUGGGAAUUAACAGCAUCCAGAAAGUUUAGGGGCAACCAAGCUUCUAGAGGGCUUCAUAGUUAAUUCCAUCUUGCAAAUGUAGAAACUGAAGACACAGACAAGCAGUUUCUCCCAAAUUACUUGGUUAGUCAUUGAGAAGGAGGGCUCUUUAGCCACAAGUCCUGUGCACUUUUCCACUCCAUACUGGAAAGGGGGAUGACUGAAGUUGGGUGCCUCGUUUCCCUCCCAAUUUUGAGACAGGAACCUCUGAACUGCUGGCACCUCCUGCCUGGACUGAGGAAUAAGGUGACCAAGAUUCUAGCUUAUCCUCUAACCUGAGGCUGGUAAAAACAAAGCACGAAAAAGUGCUUUGUCCCUUGACUGAGGAAGGUGGGGUGGGAAUUGGUGACAAAAAUAACCCAGCCCAUCAUUCCUGCAAAGGCUUUAAAGCCCUUCUUUCCUGUUUCCUUUCUACCAGGAAAUACAGUUCUCUAUGCUUCAGACAUGAACAUUAUCAAAACCCCACCUACUCCUGAGACAGACUGUGAGAACUGGAGGAGGUCAUUUAACCAGUAGGUGCCAAAACCAGACAGCCUCACUCCAGACCCACAGAAGCAGAAUCUCCAGGAGGAAGUAAAUCUUGACUGGGUUCAAAAUACUUUAAUAGAUGACCCACAGACAGUAAGCAGCCUGCCCUGGCUCACCCACAGAGUCAGGGUGGUGGUGAAUUUGAAACUGAGGCUCCCAAGAUCACCCUGGGAGCUCUCCUUAGGAGAUAACUCUCAAUUCUGCAUCUUGCACAUAACAGAGGCUUAAUAAAGAUCUGUUGGGUGCUUGAGCCUCAGAAGAUUUUCUAAUAUGGUGAAGGCAAAGAACAUAAGUUUUGGAAUCAGGCAGAUCCUGCUGCAGACCACUGGCAAACUUCAGUCUCCUUAAACUGUUAAAUAGGACGAAUAUCCUCAUGGGGUUUUUCAGUGAGGAUUAAAUGAGAUAUCCCUAAGUAAAAUCCCUAGCCCAAUGCCUGGCACCCAAAAGGCACUUAAUAUAAUGGUAGUGUUUAUCAGUGAGAAGUGGUAGAACAGAGUGGUAAG
rnacentral:lncRNA from 1 species